GAUGAACGCUGGCGGCGUGCUUAACACAUGCAAGUCGAACGGAACUACUCCAAUGAGAGUCUUCGGAAAGGAUUUGGUUUAGUUUAGUGGCGGACGGGCGAGUAACGCGUGGGUAACCUGCCCUAUACAGGGGGAUAACAGUUGGAAACGACUGUUAAUACCGCAUAAGCGCACAGGAGCGCAUGCUCCGGUGUGAAAAACUCCGGUGGUUUAGGAUGGACCCGCGUCUGAUUAGCUGGUUGGCGGGGUAACGGCCCACCAAGGCGACGAUCAGUAGCCGGGCUGAGAGGGUGAACGGCGACAUUGGGACUGAGACACGGCCCAAACUCCUACGGGAGGCAGCAGUGGGGAAUAUUGCAAAAUGGGGGAAACCCUGAUGCAGCGACGCCGCGUGAGCGAAGAAGUAUCUCGGUAUGUAAAGCUCUAUUAGCAGGGAAGAAAAUGACGGUACCUGACCAAGAAGCCCCGGCUAACUACGUG
rnacentral:rRNA from 1 species